UGUUCACUUGAGUAUCUUUCACAAGUACACUGACUAUGCACUCUGCAUUAGGUAUUGGGUGGAGUGUUCAGUUUUAUCCCACGUUGGGUAAUCUUUAUGUCUGGAAGCUUUAUCAUUUCUACAUUUUGUUCACAAUGCCUGAACAAGUGGCUACAGUAGACAGGCAUUAUCUUUGCUCUUUUCUUGCAGUUUGAUUCAAGACAAGCUUGAGGGUUUGUGUAAGGUAAAACUUCUUAGGGCACAGCAGUAUUAGUCAUUGGGCAUGUGUGGUCUCGAUGGUAUGUGUGCUACUAUUUGUGAUAAAACUUUACCAUUGUGUGUGUUUGUGUGUGUGUGUGUGGUGCUGGGGAUUGAAUUCAGGGCUUUGUAAAUGCAAGACAAAAACUCUACCACUGAACUAUAUCCCCAGUAUCAUGGUUAGUUUUCUCUUCUUGUUGAAACAAAAUACCUGACACUCUUGGAAAUCACAAACUUGGACAAAAACAAACAAAACCUCAAAGUGAAAGAAUGGCUAUUAUCAAGAAAUCAACCCAUAACAAAUGCUGGGCUGGGGAUUUAGCUCAGUGGCAUAAGCACCUGCCUGGCAAGCACAAGGUUGUGAGUUAGAUCCCUGAUACCACCAAACAAACAAACAAACAAACAAACAAACAAACAAACGUACUGGCAGAGCUGUGGGAAAAAGGAACACUUCUCCACUGUUGGUGGGAGUGUAGCCUGGUGCAACCACUGUGGAUAUCAGUGUGGAGAUUCCUCAAAAACCUACAACUAGAGGUUUCAUUUGACUAAGCCAUUCCCCUCCUGGAUAUUUUCCUAAAAGAAUGAAGAGCAUCAUGCCACAGUGAUAUAUGCAUAGCCAUGUUUAUAGCCACACAGUUUGUAAUAGCCAAAUAUUGGAAACAACCCAAAUGCCCAUCAACUGGUAAAUGGAUAAAGAAGAUGUAAUUUUUUAAUAUAAUGGAGUACUACCCUGCCAUAAGGAAGGAUAUGCCAAAGCUGGGCAAGCUGUUUGUAAUCCCAGCACUCGAGAGGCUAAAGCAGGAGGAUUGUUGCAAGUUUGAGACCAACCUGGGCUACAUAGUGAGUUCAAGGCCAACAUGAACUACAUAGCCUGACCCUAUCUCAAAAAGACACGAGAAGGAGAAGGAGGAGAAGGAGAAGGAAAAGGAGAAGAAAAGAAGCUCAAGACAUUUCUAAAUGGGUGCACCUCGAUUUCAUACUUUUUUUUUUUUUUUUUUAAAGACAGAUUCUCACUCUGCAGUUCAGGCUUGACUUGAACUCACUUUGUAACCUGAGCUGGCCUCAUAUUCACAGCAAUCUUCCUACCUCAGCCUCCCAAAGGGUGGGAUUACAGAUUUAAUGAAUCCAGUCUUGACUUCUGGAAGAUGGUGGAGUGGUAAGCAGCAGAGAAACAACCUCUCAAAGAGUUGCCAUCCGAAUACUGGAAUAUGGCAAUACAAAGAAGAUAAAAAGGAUGGAAGUGAGUCUCUUGGACUCAGGAAGGAUCUGAUGUGAGAAAUGAAGCCCAGAGAGAGUGAAGAGAGAAAUUUCAACAAAGAAGAAGGAGGUAGCCUGUAGCGCCUUCUCACUGAGAUGGGACUCACUUUGUGAGAGAGCGGUUCAAACCUGUGGACACACAGUGACUGUUAGUGGCCCCAGAACCUUCCACAGAGAGAUACAGCAGUGAAGGGGCACAGUGGACUUGAAGGACUUCACUAAGGCGGGUGAAUGCUGAGGGCUUGGUUGUCCUGCAGGAGACAGCAAUUGGUUGAGAGCUGAUUUGGAGAGAGGUCUCCUGGGGUCAGAGUUCAGAACAACAUCUGGGUCCAUCUAGUGGCUCCCAGUUGAAUUCAAGCCCUCCGAAGGUGUGCUGACUGCUGCAGGCUGAAUGGCUCUGGUCUCAGACUCAGCCUCUGAGCCAGAAAGCAGCCUGAACUUCAGGGUAAAUAAAGGUGCAGGCUCACAGGGAUUAUCCAGUACCCUACCACAAGCUACUGUUAAUGUGCUGGGUUAAAUCAACACAGAUCUGGACUCUGUCUCCACAUGUGAUUUACCAGUGACACCAGAGACAAACCUGGAAGCGGACCUCUCUCUCUCUUCCUUCAUUGUUUGGUCUUUGUUUCUAUAUGAGUGUGAAUGUGGUUUCUACUUUCUUUGUGGUUGUUUCUUUGUUACAUUCUUCCUUUUAUUUCUUCAUUCUCUAUCUCUUUGUUUUUUCUUAGUACGGGUGAUCAAACUCACGACCUUGUACUUGCCAGGCAGGCACUUAUGCCACUGCGCGAAAUCCUCAGCCCUUACCUGUACAUUCUUACAUUUUCCAUCUUUGAUACUGAUCAGAGUGCCUAAUGUGUAAUAUGUGCACAGUAAAUAUUGAAUGGAAUGAAUAUAAGCCAGGCACAGUGGUGCAAGCCUCUAAUCUCAGCACUUGGGAGGCUGAGGCAAGAGGAUCAUUGUGAGUUCAAGACCAGCCUGGGCUACAAAGUGAGCUCAAAGCCAGCCUGAACUGCAUACAAGACACUGGCUCAAAAACACACACAAAAAGAAUAUGGAUAAAUUCAUUUUUCUAGUCAUCUUCGUCUCAUUCUCUUCAAUAAAAUAUUUAUUGAAUUCAUUUUUAUUUUGAAUGCAUUUGUUUUUUAUUCUCUAAAAUCUUAAAUGUAUAACUGAUGAGUAUUCCUUUUCACAGAUGUGACUUAACCAUAGACAGGAGUGGAUUGUAAUGUUUUGAAUCUUGAAAUUAACUUAACUAUUGUUUUAUCUUCUAUUUCUCAUCAGUUGUUUUUUUUUGUUUUGUUUUGUUUUUUUGUUACCUUUACCUAAUUCUGGGCCAGGGAUUUAGCUCAGCAGCACAAAUGCCUGCCUGGCAAGCGCAAGGUCAUGAGUUGGAUCCCCAAUUGCAAAAAAAAAAAAAGCGCCCCACCUUUACCUAAUUCUAUAAACAUCCCUCUACUUCGCAACAGGCUCCUUUGUCCCACUUCUUUCUCAUAUCAUACAAGGUUUCAAAGUUCUGUUUUUGCAUUCAUUCAACAGUAUAACCAUAAAGCUUUAACAAUACCUUGAAUAAAUCAUAAAUCUUUAUUUAGAUAGUUAGCUCUAUAAAAUUAGUGUUGAAUUUUUCUACCAGUAGUGGGGAGGUGGCUGUUGUAUUUAGUAUAGAUUAGCUAUAAGUCAAUACCUGAAUUGACUCUUGUGUUUGUUGGGUUUUUGAGACAGUGUCUCCCUAUGUAGCUCAGGCUGAGCUUGAACUCACUAUGUAGCCCAGGAUGACCUCAAACUCAGGGUGAUCCUUCUGCCUCAGCCUUUCAAGUGCUUGAAUUACAGGUGUGUGACACCAUGCUUGGCCUGGGUUGCCUUAUGUUAAUAUUUAGUUUGCCUUGGGUGAUGUUUAUGUCAGUGGCCCCCAAACCUCAUGCAAUUAUGCGUUUGUGAUUGGUUCAUUGUCUAGCGCUCCGCUGGUGGUGUGAGUGCUACAUCGCCUAGGGGUGGAGCCAAGAUCAGGAAGGUGUGUCUCCCUCUCUCCCCUGUUAAUGCUUGCUGUUUGUAGCCAGCCAUGAAUAGCGAUCCACCAUGCCACCCUGAUGCUUGGAGCCAACUGAGUAUGGACUGAAACCUCCAAGAAUGAUAAGAAAUAAACCUUUCCUUCCUUCA